UUGAAGAGUUUGAUCAUGGCUCAGAUUGAACGCUGGCGGCAGGCCUAACACAUGCAAGUCGAGCGGUAGCACAGAGAGCUUGCUCUCGGGUGACGAGCGGCGGACGGGUGAGUAAUGUCUGGGAAACUGCCUGAUGGAGGGGGAUAACUACUGGAAACGGUAGCUAAUACCGCAUAACGUCGCAAGACCAAAGUGGGGGACCUUCGGGCCUCAUGCCAUCAGAUGUGCCCAGAUGGGAUUAGCUGGUAGGUGGGGUAACGGCUCACCUAGGCGACGAUCCCUAGCUGGUCUGAGAGGAUGACCAGCCACACUGGAACUGAGACACGGUCCAGACUCCUACGGGAGGCAGCAGUGGGGAAUAUUGCACAAUGGGCGCAAGCCUGAUGCAGCCAUGCCGCGUGUGUGAAGAAGGCCUUCGGGUUGUAAAGCACUUUCAGCGGGGAGGAAGGCGGUGAGGUUAAUAACCUCAYCGAUUGACGUUACCCGCAGAAGAAGCACCGGCUAACUMCGUGCCAGCAGCCGCGGUAAUACGKAGGGUGCAAGCGUUAWYCGGAAUUACUGGGCGUAAAGCGCACGCAGGCGGUCUGUCAAGUCGGAUGUGAAAUCCCCGGGCUCAACCUGGGAACUGCAUUCGAAACUGGCAGGCUAGAGUCUUGUAGAGGGGGGUAGAAUUCCAGGUGUAGCGGUGAAAUGCGUAGAGAUCUGGAGGAAUACCGGUGGCGAAGGCGGCCCCCUGGACAAAGACUGACGCUCAGGUGCGAAAGCGUGGGGAGCAAACAGGAUUAGAUACCCUGGUAGUCCACGCUGUAAACGAUGUCGAUUUGGAGGUUGUGCCCUUGAGGCGUGGCUUCCGGAGCUAACGCGUUAAAUCGACCGCCUGGGGAGUACGGCCGCAAGGUUAAAACUCAAAUGAAUUGACGGGGGCCCGCACAAGCGGUGGAGCAUGUGGUUUAAUUCGAUGCAACGCGAAGAACCUUACCUGGUCUUGACAUCCACAGAACUUUCCAGAGAUGGAUUGGUGCCUUCGGGAACUGUGAGACAGGUGCUGCAUGGCUGUCGUCAGCUCGUGUUGUGAAAUGUUGGGUUAAGUCCCGCAACGAGCGCAACCCUUAUCCUUUGUUGCCAGCGGUYMGGCCGGGAACUCAAAGGAGACUGCCAGUGAUAAACUGGAGGAAGGUGGGGAUGAC
rnacentral:rRNA from 1 species